ACCUUUUGUUGGUGGUGCUGUUCAUUUGCAUUUAUCCCAAACUUCUCCUAAACAUAUUUGUAUUUUUAUAUGGUUUCUUGUAUCAAAUAAAGACAAAUUUAGACUUGGAUAAGAAGACACGUUUUUCAGAAAGACUACUGCAAUCAAGAGAAUAUUCCAACCUCAGGAUCUGCAAGUGUCUCAAAAUCAAACAGAAAAAAGCUUUCCUCAUACAGGGAGGGAUCAUCAUGGACACAUGGACAACAGAGAUUUUUGAGGGGAAAUUAUUCAAAGGAAUGAGAGUGAGCAGACAGCAUGUUCAGGGUGGUCUGACAGAAAAUAUUUCUCACUGUGGUUUGCCCAUUUCAAUUCUAUGGAUGUGCUAUGUAUUAGAAUUCUCCAGAAAAACAAAACCAACAGGAGGUGUAUAUACAGAAAGACAACUGUCUUGUGGUUGUAGAGAAAAAUGUGAUUAAAAUUUAGUCAGGACAAAGGAGAAGGCAAGAAAUGCAUAACUGCAAGCACCUGGUCAUUUGUUUUCCUUCAAACUUCAGUUUGAUAAAUAUGUUUGUCAGAUUCCAUACAAACUAAGUAUUUGAAAUGACUAGGUUCACUAUCAGAAUUAACACUUUUAGCUUCAUCUCCCGACAUUAAAUAGGAUAAGGGCACUGGAAGCAUUCAUUGAAUUAUUAUUUUGAAGGGAAGGUAUUUCAGUAGGUUAGGUAAAGAAAUUAAAAUAUAAAGUAGGUGUUUCAAAAAGUCAAUCAAAGGGAAAGGUCUGAAGAAUUUCAAAGAUCCCACAAACCAGUAGUGACAUCAGAUGACAUAUUUCAUUAAGAAUUAGAAACGCUUUUUCAUUCAACAGUUUAUUAUGGGCUGACACUGUGCAAAGCAGUGGCAAUUCAUAUAAGGUUGAACAAAGUGGAGACUCUUCCCUGAUACUGUAGACGUUACUUUAAUAGUAGGGAGAGAGACACAUAAAUGUAUCAUACAACUCCAUGUCAUUUGAGUUUCACAAAAAAGGAACUGCUUAUUGUGUAGGCAUGUAUAUAAAGAUAUACUAUGCAUUUAAUACAUAUGCCAACAAAUAUUUUAUUUUUCAAUUCAGUCAAGGUAUCAAUAUGAACUCUAGUUUUUGAAUUAUAAAACUGUCCAUAAGGCUGGAAAGAAAAAAAAAAAACUACACUUUCUUUUAAUUAUAUAAUCUUUCAUAUUUUUCACAUAGGCAUCUUUGCCUAGAAUAUUUUUCCCCCCUUAUGUUCACCAGCAAAAUCCUACUCAUCUUUCAAGAUACAAUUCAAAUGUCACUUUCUCUGGCUCAGGCAGUUAACUGCUCCCUAAUCUCUUCCCAUAGCACUUUCCAAACAGAAGGUACUUUUUACUGCUUUACAUAAGUUUAUUUCUUUACUCAUAUAUUUCUCCCACAAAACUCUUUUUGAGAAUAACAACCAAGUCUUUCUUAGUUUUACAAAUUAGAGCCUAGCACAGUGUUUGCUGAUAUAUAAGAAAUAUAUUGAAUGAAUGACUGAAUAAAUAGUCAUAAUCACUCGGAGUUUACAGCGCAGCCACUGUCUUGAACUUUGCUAGUCACCAUGACAGGAAAAAUAGAAAUAUUUAAAGGGUUUCAGAAGGGAAACUUGCUACUUGAGUGUCCACAAUUCACUAACAAAGCUGGUCUUAGGUCACACUGAAUCACAAAGGAGCCAAUAAAACACAAUCCUACCAUUUGCCUGGAAGAAAAGAGCCAGUAAUCAGCACUAAUGAUUACUGCACUUGACAACUAGGAAUAAAUAUGUUUCUUUCAGAAAGACAUCUUUUUCAUCACUAGAAAACAUAUGUUCAAAAGUCACAAAGGAAAUUGUAGGGAGGGAAUUAAUCAUGGGAUGCUAAUCAAUCUAAAAUCCCUGUCUUUUCUAUAGCACUGUGAAGUAAUAUCUUAAUAUUCUCAAUAUUCAUUGUUAUGCUUUUAACAAAUCUCAUUCUUCUUAUUCCAGUUCAUGUCAAUUUUUUGGCCAAUACUUUUGUUAGAAUAUUCAAAUAUAGUCUAAAGAUCCACAAAAUAUUGUUAUGGGAAUAUCACAAAGCAAGGGCAAAACACUAAUAUUAUCAUUUGACACUGCUCUAACAAGUAGUUAACCUAUUCCUCUUUUCAUCAGAUGCUCAUUUAAAUUCCUCUAAAAUAACUGUUUAGGACAUGAUUUUCACAAAGCUGUGUUGGAAUCUGACCUACUUAAACAUGCUUUGUAAAUACAGCUGUUAACCAGGUUAGAGAAGGGUUAGUAGAUAAGAUCAUAGAAAUCAAAUCCAGAGAGCACAAUUUUUAUCUUACCCCAACUAGUAGUGUCAUAUCCUAUAUUGAACAAAUAAUUUUACAAAAUAAUUUUAUAACUAUGGUAAUAGUAAUAGGCAGUGUGACACAAGGGGAAGAGCCCUAGUCUUGGAUCUAGAAGAUUUGAAUUUAAUCUCAGCCCCUCUGAUUUUCACCUGUAAAAUUUUGAAAUCUCAAACUUUUCAAAGUCUCAGUUCUCUCUUCUGUAAAAUAGUGACUCUUUGAAGACUCAUUUGAAACAAUGUAUAUGAAAGACCUUUUAAAUUCUAAGACACAAAUGUCAUAUUCUUAUUAUUGGUAACAUAAAAGCAUCCCUCAAAAACCACUUAGGACGCUAGAUAUUAGGUUCCAUAAUUCUCAUCAAUAUUUGAAGAAAUAAGAAUAAAAUUAGCAUAUAACUUAUUUAAGAUCAGGCAUCAAAGAAUGAAACUAUUUUGUGCAAUAUUGUAGCAGUAGAUACAUGAUGCUACCCAUUUGUCAAAACCCAUAGAAAUACACAAUAUAAAGAGUGAAUCUUAAUAUAAGUAGAUAUUUGAAAUAUCAUUGAGGAAGUCAGCAUAUUCCACAGUGAAAUGCAGAAUGUGACAAAACCAUCUGACUGUAUUGCAAAUAUACAAAACCUCGCUAAAGGAGGCGGGGAAAGGUACUUACCUCAAGAACUUUGUAAUGAGUGGAGAAUAUAAAACUAAAGGCAAAAGACCCAGCAGUGUACUCUAAUUGCUUAAGCUGUCUCCUUUAGGUGUAUAUGUUAACAAUUAUGAAAUCACAAUGCAUGUAUAACUGAGAUUGCACACACAAAUAAGUGAACUAUAGAUGGUGCAAGUCAGAUUUUUCACUGUUGGACUAGAAGGUUACAGACAAACCAAAAGGGACAGCUAGGAUCAAUCAUGUGAUACUCAAAUAGAAUUACAGACAGAAUAAGCUCAUGUUUAAAUUAAUACAAGAGUUCCCAUUGUGGCUCAGAAGAAAUUAAUCUGACUAGUAUCCAUGAGGACACAGGUUCAAUCCCUGACCUCGUUCAGUGGGUUAAGGAUCCAGUGUUGCCAUGAGCUGUGGUGUAGGUUGCAGAGGUGGCUUGGAUCCUGCAUUGCUGUGGCUGUGGUGCAGGCUGGUUGCUACAGCUUUGAUAAGAUCCCUAGCCUGGGGACCUCCACAUUCAUGGGUGCAGCCAUAAAAAGACAAAAAAAGAUUAAUACAGAUAUGGAUCAAUAAAUUAGAAAUAGUUAUCAAUACAUGCACAUACAAGGGUUGGUAUAAACAGAUAUAUUUCCAAGUUUUGUCUGUCUGCUGAGAAGACCUAGAAGCAAUGACACCCCAGUUGCAAUGAGCACACCUAGGGUCCAGAUACUAAUUUCUAUGCCAUUAUUCAAUAAAAGGAACCAGGGCUCCUUGGAAAAAUGGUUGAUUCUAAGACUAGGGAAGGGAAUAUGCAAAAUGAACUUAGAGCAUCUUAUAGUGCCAGAAGGAGAGGAAAUGCACAAAAGAUAAAACAGUGGGGGUACAGUGUGGGGGGUGGGAGUGGGGCAUCCUUGGGCAUCCU
rnacentral:lncRNA from 1 species